GGUUGUGGCUCAGUGGUACAGUGCUUGCCUAGCAUGCAUGAGGCACUAGGUUCGAUCCUCAGCACCA
rnacentral:tRNA from 1 species